UAACUGACCUGUCCUAAACUACACAACCUGUCUGUCUGUAACUGACCUGUCCUAGACUACACACCCUGUCUGUCUGUAACCCUUUCUACUCAGGCACAGGGAGGGGCAGCUCAGAACCUGAGGGGGGGUUGUUUAAGUGUGUAAAGUGUAACAGUGGUCAUUCUGUGUUAGUGGCUGAAAAUGUAGUUUCGCCAGGUCUUCCUCUUCUGACGCUAUGAGGUUACUAACCUUCACAGACAACAGUCUGGUUACUAACCUUCACAGACAACAGUCUGGCGCUGUGAGGUUACUAGACUUCACAGACAACAGUCUGGUUACUAGCCUUCACAGACAACAGUCUGGUGCUAUGAUGUUACUAACCUUCACAGACAGCAGUCUGGCGCUGUGAGGUUACUAGACUUCACAGACAACAGUCUGGUUACUARCCUUCACAGACAACAGUCUGGUGCUGUGAGGUUACUAGCCUUCACAGACAACAGUCUGGGUCUGUGAGGUUACUAGCCUUCACAGACAACAGUCUGGUGCUGUGAGGUUACUAGCCUUCACAGACAACAGUCUGGUGCUGUGAGGUUACUAGCCUUCACAGGCAACAGUCUGGGUCUGUGAGGUUACUAGCCUUCACAGACAACAGUCUGGCGCUGUGAGGUUACUAKCCUUCACAGACAACAGUCUGGCGCUGUGUGGUUACUAGCCUUCACAGACAACAUUAUGACACUCCUUCCUGUUCUGAAAGCGUCCCAUGUUUAGAUUUUUUUGUAUUAUUCUCACUCUAGUCUUUAUUUACACGUUUAAUAUUUCUUGGGAGCUGCUUGUGUCUGGAUGAUGAGCUAACCUGGUUGACAUUAUCAUAAUGUAAUAUAAUUUAUAUCAUUUGUAUUAUUGUAACAUAUAUUGUGGUCUUUAUUCUGUCGUUCCUUCCUGGGGUUUUAUAGGAUCAGUGUGGGGGGGUGUAUUAACACCAGCUUCACCUGGAGCUGCUAUGGGCCAAUAAAAUGGAUCUCUUUCAGCGCUGACA